rnacentral:rRNA from 1 species
AAAUUGAAGAGUUUGAUCAUGGCUCAGAUUGAACGCUGGCGGCAGGCCUAACACAUGCAAGUCGAGCGGUAGCACAGAGAGCUUGCUCUCGGGUGACGAGCGGCGGACGGGUGAGUAAUGUCUGGGAAACUGCCUGAUGGAGGGGGAUAACUACUGGAAACGGUAGCUAAUACCGCAUAACGUCGCAAGACCAAAGUGGGGGACCUUCGGGCCUCAUGCCAUCAGAUGUGCCCAGAUGGGAUUAGCUAGUAGGUGGGGUAACGGCUCACCUAGGCGACGAUCCCUAGCUGGUCUGAGAGGAUGACCAGCCACACUGGAACUGAGACACGGUCCAGACUCCUACGGGAGGCAGCAGUGGGGAAUAUUGCACAAUGGGCGCAAGCCUGAUGCAGCCAUGCCGCGUGUGUGAAGAAGGCCUUCGGGUUGUAAAGCACUUUCAGCGGGGAGGAAGGCGUUAAGGUUAAUAACCUUGGCGAUUGACGUUACCCGCAGAAGAAGCACCGGCUAACUCCGUGCCAGCAGCCGCGGUAAUACGGAGGGUGCAAGCGUUAAUCGGAAUUACUGGGCGUAAAGCGCACGCAGGCGGUCUGUCAAGUCGGAUGUGAAAUCCCCGGGCUCAACCUGGGAACUGCAUUCGAAACUGGCAGGCUAGAGUCUUGUAGAGGGGGGUAGAAUUCCAGGUGUAGCGGUGAAAUGCGUAGAGAUCUGGAGGAAUACCGGUGGCGAAGGCGGCCCCCUGGACAAAGACUGACGCUCAGGUGCGAAAGCGUGGGGAGCAAACAGGAUUAGAUACCCUGGUAGUCCACGCCGUAAACGAUGUCGAUUUGGAGGUUGUGCCCUUGAGGCGUGGCUUCCGGAGCUAACGCGUUAAAUCGACCGCCUGGGGAGUACGGCCGCAAGGUUAAAACUCAAAUGAAUUGACGGGGCCCGCACAAGCGGUGGAGCAUGUGGUUUAAUUCGAUGCAACGCGAAGAACCUUACCUGGUCUUGACAUCCACAGAACUUUCCAGAGAUGGAUUGGUGCCUUCGGGAACUGUGAGACAGGUGCUGCAUGGCUGUCGUCAGCUCGUGUUGUGAAAUGUUGGGUUAAGUCCCGCAACGAGCGCAACCCUUAUCCUUUGUUGCCAGCGGUUCGGCCGGGAACUCAAAGGAGACUGCCAGUGAUAAACUGGAGGAAGGUGGGGAUGACGUCAAGUCAUCAUGGCCCUUACGACCAGGGCUACACACGUGCUACAAUGGCAUAUACAAAGAGAAGCGACCUCGCGAGAGCAAGCGGACCUCAUAAAGUAUGUCGUAGUCCGGAUUGGAGUCUGCAACUCGACUCCAUGAAGUCGGAAUCGCUAGUAAUCGUAGAUCAGAAUGCUACGGUGAAUACGUUCCCGGGCCUUGUACACACCGCCCGUCACACCAUGGGAGUGGGUUGCAAAAGAAGUAGGUAGCUUAACCUUCGGGAGGGCGCUUACCACUUUGUGAUUCAUGACUGGGGUGAAGUCGUAACAAGGUAACCGUAGGGGAACCUGCGGUUGGAUCACCUCCUUACCUUAAAGAA